rnacentral:pre_miRNA from 1 species
AUCAGUUGUCUCCUUGAGUUCUCCUCAUCACUUCAUUGGGUUAACUUGUUGAUUUAUGUAUGAUGAUCAUAAGCAAGCAUCCUACUGAAGUGUUUGGGGGAACUCUGGGCGGCAUCUGAU